AUACUUAUCUGGCAGGAGAGGUACCAUGAUCACGAAGGUGGUUUUCCCAGGAUGAGGUUUAUCCACUGCAGUCUGGAUGUGCUGACCCCUGUGAUUUCCCCAAAUGUGGGAAACUCUACCACAUGAUUUGUGGUAGUGGGGACUGCACUCAUGCUCUCCCCU